AAUUUUAUUGAAUGCCAACGCGAUUUAAAAUUUUGGUUACCUAAUAGCUUCAUUUUAUUAGGGUUUUGAGGGAUUAUUAAGUUGAUUAAAGAUUCCGAUUAUUAAUUAGUAUCUGGAAAUUAGGAUUUUUGAGGGAAAACCAAGUUUAAUUCUAACUAAGGGUUUGGGAUAUCUGGAAAUUACGGCAGUUCUGAUAUUUUAAUAUUCUUUUAAUUUAUUAAAAAUGCUUUUCUUUGGUUUAUCUUAUUAUCUUUUCGGUGUUUACUUUCGUUAUUUCAGAUUCUUGCGCUUUUCUGGUU
rnacentral:misc_RNA from 1 species